rnacentral:rRNA from 1 species
UACGGGAGGCAGCAGUGGGGAAUAUUGCACAAUGGGCGCAAAGCCUGAUGCAGCCAUGCCGCGUGUAUGAAGAAGGCCUUCGGGUUGUAAAGUACUUUCAGUCGUGAGGAAGGUGUUAAGGUUAAUAACCUUAGCAAUUGACGUUAGCGACAGAAGAAGCACCGGCUAACUCCGUGCCAGCAGCCGCGGUAAUACGGAGGGUGCGAGCGUUAAUCGGAAUUACUGGGCGUAAAGGGCACGCAGGCGGUUAAUUAAGUUGGAUGUGAAAUCCCCGGGCUUAACCUGGGAAUGGCAUUCAAGACUGGUUAGCUAGAGUCUUGUAGAGGGGGUAGAAUUCCAUGUGUAGCGGUGAAAUGCGUAGAGAUGUGGAGGAAUACCGGUGGCGAAGGCGGCCCCUGGACAAAGACUGACGCUCAUGUGCGAAAGCGUGGGGAGCAAACAGGGAUUUAGAUACC